UCUACAAUAAAUACUUAGUUUUACUUUCAUGUGUUGCUUAUCGUUACAGUGUCAUUUGGAGCUACACUUACUAGGUAAAUAUUUAGGCUUAAACCUGCUUAAUAGUCUUGAUCAGUCAGUAUUUUUAUCUCUGGGUUGUUUUCUGACUCAAAAACUUAACUGCAGGUUCCUGUAGGUUUUGACAAGGAAGUUAAUAUCCACCACCAGCAACGGUUGUUGCCUCUUUCCAACAAUUGUUUUCUUAAUAAUGAUGAUGGAGAAUAUCAUUUCAGUGAUGGAGGAAAGUCAUCUCACCUACUCCUACCUUACAAAAAAGGUGAAAUUUGACAGCAUUUAACAGUUCUCUUGCAUAAGCUGGACAAAAGCAGUGAUUGGAUGUUUUUAGCUUGUUUUCUGCAGACAUCUUCCCCAUCAGAUAGAUGGGUGAAGAAGAGACAGUUGACAAGAUGCUACAUAAGCAAGAACCACAUGGUUGAAAUGUCCACAAAUUAUUAAAAUGAGUCAUAUUUACAAGGGGAGUUUUACACUCAUUUGCGCCACAGUGCAAGAUUGUGGCUUGAUUUCAAUCAUGUCAUGUGUUUUGUAAAUUUCCAUUUCAAAGAGAAGGACCUGUUCCAGCAGACAGGAGAGACAAAGCUGUGUUCAUGCUGAUUAAUGCCGAAUUCAGACUGAUGAUGUGUACACACAUACAUCAAUACAAAGUUCUUUGUAAUUAUGCAAAAAUUAGAACAGGGACAUAAGUGGCUUGCUAGAAGAUAUAAGGGCCAGCUUGUUUGAUUUUUACAGUGUCUAGAUAGCUAAAGAGUGCUCACAUUGCUCUUUGCUUUCAGAAAAGAAUGUCGUAGCUAUUUAAGGAUAAGAGAAACCAUAAUAAUAAGGGCAUUGGAAGGGGCAUCGGAAACUCUAUCCUUCUAAUUAACUGUCUCAUUAGGACAGACUUUCACUUCGUAUUAUUUUACACUAGUUUUGGAAAGUGGGCCGAAUUGAAAAGCAUUUUCACCUUGCUCAGGGAAAAUGAGGAUUUGAAUCCCCAGUUGGAAACAAAGCCAAAACAAACAAAAAAAUGGAAAUGUGUACAGCCUUCAUUUUUUAAGCACACCUCCAGCUUCAGCCCUGACUAAAAAGCUUCAAGAGCAAAAGGAUGCUUGUUGUUUCAGAACUGGAUGCGCUGAAGGAACUUUGGAAACCAAAUAGUCCCAAGACCAUGUUCUUGCAUAUCAAUGUCCCCAGCACUCAUCUGGCUUUCACAGAUAAUUCAAGAUUACAUAAAUAUGUCCUAAAAUAUCUGCCUAUUUUAUCUCUUGCUAUGGCACUUGCAUUUUAAGCAAAGCAAGCUAAACAUCAUUUGAAAGGCCUGAAAAUCAUGAGGGUUUCAAUGGUAAACAUUUUCCCCCUGAAAAUGGGUGAGUGGGAAGUCGGAGGCAAAUGGAGUAAUGCUUGAACAACUAGGCCACCAUUGCCUCCGAAGACUCACAGCUGUUCUCCAGUUGAGUCUCAUCAUUUCCUGAAGAAAUGGACUUGGACUUGAUGUAGAAGAGCACUUCUGGAAGUCAGUAACAUCAAAUGACAUGAAGUCACAACAAAAAAGCAGCAGCUGGAAGCAGUCACAUGAAAAGGGGCCAAUAAGAGCAGAUGCCGUGCUCUUUCCGUAUGUCCACCAAACUCAGGCCCAAAUUCUGAAAUCUAGAAGCUUUCUCUGAGAGUAAAUUAUGUCAAGAUAGAUAUUUUACAUAUCUACACCAUGCGCUAGGAGUAGUUUCAUCUUUCUUUCACUAUCCUACAUUAUUAAAACACUGGCCUUAGUUUUACAAGAGUGCCAGUGAAUUUUAACAGAACACCUAGCCUAUCCUUUUAAAUACAACAACUUAAGAAUUACAUAAUGAUUAUUUGUGGAGUCAUUUUUAAAAGAAAUGGCAUGCUACAGUUAUGAAAGACUAGCAAAUAGAUAUUCUCUAAGUUUUCUUUGUUGAUUCUAUGUCUUCAUUAUGAAAUUUUAAUUAUAAGGGCAUGUAUACUUCCAUAAUAAUAAAACAGGAUACCAUUUAAGUAUUAAAAGAUACACUCAUGUAGAUUGAAUCCUGUAACCACUGAUGAAUUCUAGCACUUUUAUUAGUUUUUUAAACUCAUAAUUAGUAUUUGUAGAGUCAACAAAUGAUGUUCUCUAUAUUCAUAGAGACACACAUUGCAUCAAUAGUCACUAGGGUCAGUGAUAUCCAGCCACCAAUUUUUGAGGGAAUAACUUUAUAGCUAAGGCUUCAUGACAGCUGUUUAGAGGACUUAGAAUCAUUUUCCAAAAUGAAUCUGAUUCAGGAUUUUUUCCAAAGGGUUUGAGUUACUGGCAAGGUGCUACUGUGUUAUUCUGUUAAGUAUGAAAGCUCUGUCCUUCAGCCAAUUGGCAUAUCUACAAAAUAAGAUUAAACUUAAGUAUGGUGCAUCUUUCAGAGUCCAGGAUGGCUUCCUGUCUCAUACACAUCAAGGAAGCCUACAUUAAAAUAUCUCAUCAAGCACUUACAAUUACAAUGCAAUUUUCCUAACUUCAUGGGAACUUUAAAAAUGUCACAUUAAAACUGCUUGAAAGCUUUUGAUUUUAUAUUAAAUUUACAAUGUAUUAACAGAACAGCUAUGGAUUCAAAUGCAAAAGACAAAUUCAAAAUUAUUGCUUCCACAUUUAGAAUAUAAUAUUUUUACUAAUACAUGUUAUUUACUAGUAUUUGUCUUGCUUUGGUUUGUUGUUAAUUGUAACAAACAUCAACUUUGGCAAUAGGCUCCAGGUUUGUUUUUUUUUUAAUGAAUCCAAGCCAAAAUCAGAAUUAUCACUUAUUUGUUUAUGCUAAAGAACAUUUUGGAACUGUUUUUCCAGUUUCUAGCACGAAAAUAUAGUAUCUUAUAAACACCCAAAUUCUCACCAAAAAAUGUCAAUAUACCUUAAAUAAUCUUUUCCAUUACAAUUUCCUUUGGCUCUGUGACUCAGUGACAUCUACUAUAUCACCCUCAAACUUUUUCUGAGUUUGUUAGGAUGCCUGUCAUCAGUUAUAGAGUUGAAAUCAAUGCCUACCACAGGAAGGUAAUUUUUGUUAAGCAUCCAUUUCCCUUUCUUGAAUUUCCAGAAUGAAUCCAAAUUCUUUGCCUCAAGUGGCCCAUAGCUUAUUGGUGAACUAUAAUCAGCUAGUUGCUAACUAUGGUAUCUUUCCUUCCAUCUCUUGCUGACCUUGAUGCUCGUCCCUGUGACUCUCAAGGGACAGAGAUGCCAGGCCUAUGCCACCAGUCAUGGCUGAGGAGCAGCUCUGUGACCCUUUCCUUUCCUUACUGCAUCUAUCACCCAGCCUUUCUUAAGGCUCUAUUUACUUGUUAAUCCAAUUUCAGCCAAAGUUUCUACUGUUCUCUCCUUUCUAACCACUUCCACUGGACUCCAGAAGACCAUUCUACAAAUAUGCUUAUGUUGGUAUUUAUGAAACUUAAAAUACAGUUAUAUCCUAUCUCAAUAAAAUGGCACCACAGGUUCCAGUCUGUACUUGUUUUAACCCAUAUUUGGAUUUCUUCACCUAGAAUCUAGGCCUAUCACCAUAGCCAGAAAGUCCAAGACAAACUCAUCAGUUUCUCUUUAUGAUGACUGGAACAUUUCCCCGACCUCCAAAAAUCACAUUUUGGGUGUUUUUAUCACCCAAUUUCAUCACUGUUUUUGCAACCCCAAAAUCUACAAUAUUAUACAUUAUUAUAGUAUUAUGAUCAAAUGCCAGAUUUGAAAUUAUUCAAAAGUUCUAUAAAGUUUAGUAGAAAGAUAAAAGAUAAUAAAAUCAAAACAAUAAUCAUAGCAGAUUUUUAUAUGCUUAUAUAGUUUAAAGAGUUGUGGGCAGAUUUGAAGUGAGAAGAUCUUCAGGAACAAAAAGUUUCCAUUCUCAAAUGGCUUCAGUGGCUGACAUCAUAUAAUUAUGCAAUUUGUCUGCCUUCUUACUCUUCCCAAUUAAACUCCAAUAGACAAUAACCUACUAUAACUGAAAUAUGUAGGGAAUAAAGAGGCUUGUAAGUAUGUUUUGCCGACCUACUCCUGGGCUUAGCCUUAGCCUUCUUACUUUUUGCUAAACAUUUCAUGAGAUUUUGUUUCUAUAUGUAUAUAUAUAUAUAUAUAUAUAUAUAUAUGUGUGUGUGUGUGUGCAUGUGUGAGCGCACAUGCGCGUGUGUGUAUGCAUGUCUUCCCCAUAUGGAUGCAUGUGAGUCCAGAGGUCAAUGCCAAGUAUUACCCACAAUUGCUCUUCACUUUCCUUUUGAGACAUGGUGUCACUGCACUUGGAGCUCAAUUUUUCCACUUGACAGAUCAGCCACCAAGCACCUGUCAUCCUUCUGUCUCCACCUCCUUUGCACUGGGGUAACAGACACAUGCUACUAUUCCCAGAUUUUACUUGAGUGUUAGGAAUCUGAACUUAAGUCCUCAUGAAAACAAAGUAAACACUUUACCUAAUAAGUCAUCUCUUAUCCCCCACCAUAUGGGAUUUUGGAGUAAGGAGUAGUUCAAGACAGGAUUUCUCUGUGAAUAAUACUGGCUUGUCCUAGAAUUCACUCUGCAAACCAAGCUGGGUUUGACCUCAUAGACAUGCACCUGCCUCUGCCUCCCAAGUGCUGGGAUUUACGGCAUGGGCCAACACCACCUGGCCAGUGUAGUGUUUUUAACUAAAAAAUAUUAAUAUCCAUCUAUUAACUCAUCUUCUCUUCUUCUGCAUACUUCAAUGAGAUUAUAAUAAAUACUAAAGUAACAAAGGGGAUAUCAAUUAAAAGAAUGAGUAGAAUAAUCUCCAAACAUCAACUUAGAGAAGUCUAUAUUGUGAUUUAAUAGCUGGGUAUAAAAGCAAAGAGGAUGGGUAUGAAAAAGAACAUGUCCAGCAGGACUCUGUAAAUAUUACAGAUCAGAGACAGCAGAAGAGCAAACAGCAAGAGCAUAGAGGAGCUGGAAACCAGGAUUCAUUGGGGGCAGGUAUACAACAGGCUUCUCAUGCAGAUUAAACUAUAGUCUAGCAUCUCACAUUGGUGGCAGAAAGCAAAGCCCUCUUACUUCCAACAUUCACCCAAAGGCUUAGGUUCUACUCACUAUGACAUAAAAGCUCUAGUCCACAAGCCUCUUUCACAGAGAGUACAACAUCAGCUACAUGAUUUCCUUAAUGUUAAAUAUAAGAAUACAGUUAAUGAUCUCCAGAUAACAGAAUGAAGACUACAGCACAAGGGGGAAUGACCAAGGUAAGCAGAAGAAAGACUUGACUCUCAGAAGAGAAAGAGUAUUCAUGUACAGAAUAGAUGGUUAAACACAAUUUUACUGUUUCUAGGCAAAAUAUAUUGUAACUAAAGACAAAGGACACAGGUUUCUGCAAAGCACAAACCAGAAAAUAACAGUGGCUCUUGGAAACUGCAUGAUUUGAUGAAUCAAAACAUCAUUUGGAAGCUUUAAAGAUGGUGCAAAAGACCUCUUCAAAAAGUAAAAAUAGAGUGCCAGCCUACAAUCCCACAGUCAGAGAGUCUGGGAAUCAGGGAGGACUGGAGAUACAGUAGACUUUUGGGACAUUUUUUGUACAAAACUUGCAGUGUGCAGUAGGCAGAAGAAUGAUCCCUCUAAUGAAGUCCACAUCUAGUGAAUGUUAUCUCAAAUAGCAAACUAGAUUUUGUAUGUACAGUUGAUACUAAGACAUGUUUAUUCUGGCUGAUGCAGAUGGACCUUGUGUAAUCAUAAGUUCUCUAAGAGAUGAAGAAAGUGUAAAGGGAGAGAGCCAGAAGACAUGUCACUCUAACAAUGACCAAAAUGAUGAAACAUUGAUAGCUCUGAGGACGGAGGAUGCUCACUAAAUGCAACAGGUUCUAGAAAAUGAGAAACACGGGAAAAUGGAUUCUUCCUGGAGACUGCAAGCAGAAAUGACAUUGCAUUGACACUAUGACUUUAUCCUCUAUUAAAAGUCUAUGUUCUAGAAUUACAUGAUAAAGGGUUUUAAAUCACAAAUUUGCAAUGCCUUAUUGCAGAAAGAAAACACACUUAAACAAAAAUGAACUCUUUAUGAUAUUCUCUUAUAUUAAUGUGUAUUGUUUUCAUUUCCAUUUUUAUAAUCAAAAUUUUAAGUGUUAAGAAAAGCAGUUUUUUGAACCUGUGCUCCUUCUGUUUUGAAGGGUGAAGAAGGAUCGGUACAUGGGCUUUCCUUUCUUCCUAAUUCACAGGGUUCCUUUCGAAGUCUUACACCUGCUCUCAAUAACAGAAAAUGCCAUGAUUUAAUACCUUAGAAUAUUUCCAGGAAUUAUUUUUCUACACGUAGUUAGUGUUAUGCUGCCAUCGUUUAUAUGUGUAAAGCACACAAAAUGCAAAAAGUUUCUUAGCUAGGCCAAUAACAAGCAUUUUUUAUUUUUUAAUUUUUAUCACCUCUGCUGUACUAUGAUAUAAACCACAUUGGCUCUGUUACUUUAGGAUAUUACUGUGUUGUUAUCAACAAGGUUCUUUGGAUUUUAAAUCUUUAAUAGGACAGUCUGUAUUCAAUCUCCUUAGCCCCCAAAAGAACUGGGGCGUUUCUCUUUCUGCCAAUUAUUCAUUGUCAGACAGACAUCACACCAUGUAGAAGGGAGAAAACAAACUGAGACUCAAAAUACCUGAGUCUAAGACCUACCUGAGUAACCAGCUUUAGGAAAGUAACUUCAUGAGGAUAUAACAUGAAUAUUCGUUAAGAAAUAAGAGGAUUGGCAAGACUAGUGCUCUCCAGAUCCAAGGUCUAUGAUGACCAAGACAAGUCUAUACUCAUCAAGGAGAAUACCCUUAGUCACACCAAAGCUAAUCCAGGACAGCUAACCAGUCACCAAAUCCUGGUAUCAUCCAUAACUCAGCAACAAUGUGUUCAAGCCCUAACUUUUCUUUUUUAGAAAGAUUUUUGCUUCCCUAAUUUUACUCAGACAUCUAUGAUUUCCUCAAAAACCAGACAAGAGUCAGGAAGCAUCUCUAAUAUGAUCAGGAGUCUAAGAAGGGCGUAGUCGAGUUGUUUAUCCAUUAUAGUUUAGUAUCCAGUCACUUCACCGUCUCACGUUUUUUGGAAAUCCCCAGAAAUGUUUCUCUAUUGACUUUAUUUUGCCAGUGAACUCUAAUGCAGGAUAUCUUAUUAUUUAACUUGUGUUCCUUAGGCAUUUUUGGAUAUACUGUUUUUUUAACAACACUGCAAAUACAUUAUCAAGUUCUCAUGAGAUAUGCUUAAUGUGUUUUUCAAUAAGCAGAGAAACAUCUAACACUUAUUUAAGCAAAAAUUUUCUUUAGGACAAAAAUAGUUUGAAAACUAAAGAUGAAAAAUAUGAAAAGCUGUCACAGUCUACCCAAAAAUACCCUCCAAAACUUGAAUGUAUUCAUUCCAAAAAUGGAGACAGAAUCAAAAUGAAAAUCAAAACUUCAAUGAAGUAUCGCCUUUCUGUUGGCUACACCACAACUAAUGGAGGUAAUACAACAUGACCAUGGCAGAGGGAAAGAAAAGCAGUGAGCUUGUUUUUCAUCUCUUACACAACAGACUUGGGUAGAUUUAACAUAGCAUCAGAUAAGGCCUUUUCCUUUCUAAUGCUCUGUUCAGAAACAUUUCCCAGGAAUCCAUCCAUAUUUAGCUUCUUAAUUCACUUCAGAUUUCAGUUUUCAAGUGACAUUGUCAGUGUCUAAACUAGGCAUGCCAAUUGCUUAUUCACCCACUUGUUUCCCAAGUGAGUACUCACUCACAUUAUCUACAGAUCUCUUUCUUCUAACUACAUAGACUCAUUUCACCUGUAAACAAUUUUCUUAUACACCCAAUUACUAAUUAAGGAAAUACCUAAUACCAAACAAACAAAAUUUGGAAUUUUACCCUGUAAACAUGUACUAGACUCUAGAAAAACAGGCAAGGAAUGCAAAUGAUUUUUUUGUUCUGGAAACAUGUUACAAAGUCAGUUCUCAGUAGUUUUAGAAGCAGUUGGCAAUCUUACCAUCAGCUGACCAGAGGUAAAGACUGGAGGAUGUCUUCUCCAUGCAAAUGUGCCAUCUUCAAAGUAGCAUCCCAUCCCAUUAUCAGCAACAUCACCUUUCUACACAUCCUCCAAUUUUCAGGGUAUGAGUAAGAACUAAUUGUCUUCAUUUUUCAAGUAUCUGCCUCUAUCAACUGUUACUUCCCCCUGAGGAAACCCUAUAUAGAAUUACUAGGAAAAGGACUCAGGGGAGGAAUAUAUCCUUCUCCCAAAUGGAAGUCUAAAAUAUAUAGGCUCAGUCCCUGUAAAUUGCUUACAUAAGUGUGUGUGUGUGUGUUUACAAAUAUAAAUCCCAGUGCAUUAUAUUUAGCUGAAUAGAGAAUAAAAUGCAAAGAGGUUUCUGUAAAAUAAGCCUAGUAAGCAGCCAGUCUUUUUUUUUUAGUGAGCCAAAUGAUCUAUUUAUAUUUCUAAGCUGCAAUUAACUCAUUUAAAAGGUUGUUUAGCAUGCAGGCAGUUUACCGAUACAUCAAUUCUUUCCUUGGUAUCAAUUUUGUUCCAUUAUGUCUCUAUUUUUAAUGAAGUCUUGAUGGAUUCUUUUUGAUUACCCUCUUUUCUAGAAACAUGAAUAAUCUCGUCUGGCUGCCUGUGUCGUUUAAAGCUCCAACAUGCCGUCACAACAUUCUUGAAGAUGUGUGUGUGUGUGUGUGUGUGUGUGUGUGUGUGUGUGUGUGUUUGUGGUGUAAUUAAGUGAAAGAAAAAUUAUUCCAAUUUUUGUAUCAUCUUUACAGCUUUAUUCUCACUUGAUAUGUUAGGCAGUAACUUUGGCUGUCAUAGCACUGCCAGAAACUUUGGUUAAAUAUUCCACUCGAAAAUGACUUAUUCUCAGUUCAUCAUCCCUUGAAAAGUUAUGUUAUAUGUGUAUUAAUUUUCAUCUACCUUGAACUAAAAUUAUAACCCUCCUCUUGAUGGAAAGUAUGGGCUUGGAUCUAGAUAUAACUUCUAUUCCUGGCAUUGGUCUUAACUUGUAGGCUAUGAACAGUUGAGCAAGCUGCCUAAACUCACUGAAAUCUCUAUAGACGUAACAACAUUCGGCAAAAAAUAUCAGGGCUUCUUACUUAGGUGCUAUUAACAUUUUAUACUACAUAUAUUUUUGAAAUAAUGGUUUCAGGCCAACCUUUAAUACCAUACAUAACUGAUUAUGACUUUGAACUUUUAAUCCCCAUGCCUUCAACCUCCUGUUCUGGGAUUACAAUAUCUGUUUUUUGAAUGUGGGUCUUAGGAUAAAAUGUAAGGCACUGUACAAGCUAAGGAAGUACUCUACCAAAUAAGAUACAUCCUCAGCCCUAUACCACAUAAUUCCUUAUUGUAAAUACGUUAUCAUUGGAUAUUCUCACUUGAGGGUACUACAUCUUUCGAUCAUGAACACUAAAACCUCUCCAAAUGUUAACAAAUGAUGACUGAGAACUAGUGUUUCAUAAAACUAUUGGUUGCUCUUGCCAAAGUAUAAUAAACAAUUAAACAUUGAUAUGCAUUAAGUAUAAGUCAUUUUCUAGAAUGUUGUGUGUGUAUGUGUGUGUGAUUGUGUAAAUGUAUUCUUGAAUAUGUAUGUAUAUGGAUGUGCUUGUUAGGCAUUGAUAUCAAGCGUCUUUCUCACUGGCUCUCUGCCUCAUAUACUGAGGCAGUCAAGAUCUAUCACUGAAGCCAAUGAUCUCAGAUUCUAUUAAACUAGUUGUUCAGCUAGCUCUGGGGAUCCUUGCUCUCAGCCUCAUACUGUAUAGCAAGAGCUUUAAACACUGAAGGGUUGGAGAGAUGGCUCAGUAGUUAAAAACAUUUGUCACUCUUGCAGAGGGCGCAAGCUCAAUUCCCAGCACCCACAUGGUAGCUCACAGCCAUCUGUAAUUCUGGUUCCAGUGGAUCUGAUGUCCCCUUCUGAUUGCCAUAGGCAUACAUGUGGUUCAAAAACAUACAUACAUGCAAAACACAUCAUACACUUGAAAUAAAUCAAAACACCAAGCCUUAUUCCCAUGCUUAAUCUAGUACUUCUUCACACUGUAUUACCUUCCUAGUCUCUGUAAUCAAAUAUCUGAGAGGAAAAAAGGAAAGAUUCAAGGAUUGAGAGGGUAGCAGUCCAGGAGAGCAGAGAUGGCAUAGCAUCUGAAGCAGAUUGGUCUGUGGUGGUGAGAGCUUGGAGCUUUCAUAUCACUGCUGUAUUGAAGAAACAGAGAGCCAUUGCAGAAAGCAAGAAAGACUUCAACCCUCAAGAAAUGGCAUUGUUCUUUCCCCUGCUGGGAAUCAAGUGUACAUAAGCCUGUGGGAAACCAUUCACAUGCAAACCAUAAGCAUAAUAAAAUUAAUCAUCCUAUUAAUAGAUCUGGAAUCACAAGAGCAAAGCACCACCAUAUGGUAUAGAAACAAAGAACAAGAAAUCACCAAGAACUCAAGAAGCAAGUCUCCAAAAUA